CAGGCUGGAGCUAGUCAGCAGCUUUUGCGUAAGCACUAGGCAGCACUGGAGUGCAGCUGAGGGAGUCGGCCAUGAGCCGCUGGAGUGCAGGGGAGGGAGCUGGCCGUGAGCCGCUGGUGCAGGGGAGGGAGACGGCUGUGAGACGCUGGAGUGCAGGCUAUUUUGACCCCUGAAGUCUUCCCAUGCGGGGCAGACUCUUUGCAAGACUGACUACCUGGAGGAGCAGAGGAGCAGGGGAGAAUGCAUGUUCCUGGAAGUAGGGGACUUGCUUCCAAGAGAAGAGGGAACAAAAGUAGAAAAGAGAAGGACUGUACAACACUGUCUCAGCUCAUUUGUGCUGCUAUAACAAAAUGCCUGAGACUG
rnacentral:lncRNA from 10 species